rnacentral:rRNA from 1 species
UGACUGUGCAAAGGUAGCAUAAUCAGUUGGCUUAUAAUUGAAGUCUGGGAUGAAAGAAUAUUCGGGUAGUAUCUAUCUUAUGGUAUUUAAUUGAAAUUGGUUACCAAGUGCAAAUACUUGUUUACUAAAAUUAGACGAGAAGACCCUAGAAACUUAUUAAUUUUGUUGGGGCGACAGAACUACAUUUAACUAGUUUUCAAAAACUUGAAGUUAAGCAGAUAGAUAAAGUUACUCUAGGGAUAACAGCAUAAUUUAU